rnacentral:rRNA from 1 species
AUUGAACGCUGGCGGCAUGCCUUACACAUGCAAGUCGAACGGCAGCACGGGUGCUUGCACCUGGUGGCGAGUGGCGAACGGGUGAGUAAUACAUCGGAACGUACCUUAUCGUGGGGGAUAACGCAGCGAAAGUUGCGCUAAUACCGCAUACGCCCUGAGGGGGAAAGCGGGGGACCGUGAGGCCUCGCGCGAUUAGAGCGGCCGAUGUCUGAUUAGCUUGUUGGUGAGGUAAAAACCCACCAAGGCGAUGAUCAGUAGCUGGUCUGAGAGGACGGUCAGCCACACUGGGACGGAGACACGGCCAAGCCUCCUACGGGAGGCAGCAGUGGGGAAUUUUGGACAAUGGGGCAACCCUGAUCCAGCAAUGCCGCGUGAGUGAAGAAGGCCUUCGGGUUGUAAAGCUCUUUUGUCAGGGAAGAAACAGCAGCUCUAACACAGUCUGCGAAUGACGGUACCUGAAGAAUAAGCACCGGCUAACUACGUGCCAGCCGCCGCCGUAA